rnacentral:rRNA from 1 species
AAUAGAUACCCAGGUAGUCCACGCCCUAAACGAUGCUCACUAGGUGUUGGGGAAGCGAUUCCUUGGUACCGUAGCUAACGCGUGAAGUGAGCCGCCUGGGGAGUACGGCCGCAAGGUUAAAACUCAAAGGAAUUGACGGGGACCCGCACAAGCGGUGGAUGAUGUGGAUUAAUUCGAUGCAACGCGAACAACCUUACCUACCCUUGACAUGUCCGGAAGCCUGCUGAAAGGCGGGGUGCUCGAAAGAGAACCGGAACACAGGUGCUGCAUGGCUGUCGUCAGCUCGUGUCGUGAGAUGUUGGGUUAAGUCCCGCAACGAGCGCAACCCUUGUCCCUAGUUGCUACGCAAGGGCACUCUAGGGAGACUGCCGGUGACAAACCGGAGGAAGGUGGGGAUGACGUCAAGUCCUCAUGGCCCUUAUGGGUAGGGCUUCACACGUCAUACAAUGGACGGUACAGAGGGUUGCCAACCCGCGAGGGGGAGCCAAUCCCAGAAAGCCGUUCGUAGUCCGGAUCGCAGUCUGCAACUCGACUGCGUGAAGUCGGAA